rfam:Phlebia centrifuga strain FBCC195 PHLCENscaffold_2754, whole genome shotgun sequence.
GCUUCUAUAGUGUAGCGGUUAUCACUCGGGAUUUUGAUGUGGCAUUGAAUUUCCCGCGACUCAGGUUCGAACCCUGAUAGGAGCU